UCUCUCUCUCUCUCUCUCUCCCUGUCUCUCUCUCUCUCUCUCUCUCCCAUACAUCGAUUACUCUCAUUCCGCCGCCUCCAUAUUCACAAAUCGAUUUCCAGCCGCCUCCGCCUCUAAAUCCCGCAGCCUCCGCGCCUCUACACCGUGAAACUUUGAUUUCCAGCCACCACUACACCGUAAAUCGCGCGAUUUACGGCUAAUUUCUGGAAUUCCGAACGCCUACAACAACUAAUCGGUGAAAUCAGUUCACAAGAAGAAUUAUAAUGGCAAGAAAGAGAACAAGAACUGAACCGGCUGAGGACGAGGUUGAAACAAGUAAUAGUGAAUGGAAUAUGAAUGAAGAAGAGAUUGAAGAAAGCAGCAAUACCAUGAAUGAAGAUGAAACACAAUCUGUACAAGAAGGUUUAGUAUUGUUUUAUAACAAGAUGUUGCAGUACACCCGUUAGAAUAUUGCAGUGCAUCAUUUAGAAUAUUGCAGUAUUCUACCAGCUGCUUCGUGGCAAAUACUGUACAAUACAACAAUGUUGUACAACAACGACAUUCUUGUAAUUGACUCUAUCAUGAGUAUUGCAUCAAAGCACUUCGAGGAGGGGAAAAGAGAGGACCGAUAGAUGUUGAGAAGAUGGUCAUGAACUACAACAAAUAGUGACCAAUUAUUGUCUUUUUUUUUUCUUCAAACAUAGAGUUUGGUUUCUUUAUUGGUUUUUUGUGUAGAUGAUGUGAUUUGAUAUUUUGAUUUGGUGAUUACUUGUACUUAAAACAAGUCGGUUUUAUUUUGGUGUAGCCAAUGUUGAUGAUGUAA